rnacentral:lncRNA from 1 species
UGAUUCAAGAUUGCAGAAGAUUAAAGAUGAAGACGUGCAAUGGGGAAUAUGUAGGAGGAAAGGGGACUUGAGUUACCAUGGCAACUGAAAUUCAAUGUAACAUCACUCCAAAAAUGUUCUGUUAGUUUGGGGAGAAUUUACCAAGUUAGUAUCCCACAAUUUGUAUCAUAACCCACAAGCUACCAGGCAGGAAUGGGGCAUAGGAGUGUCAUCCUGAAGCUAGUAAUUUCAUUCUAGUGGAAAUCAGCAGGCUAGGAGCUGGAGUGAACCUCUGGGAAAAGUAACCAGAUUCCAGUUUCAUCUUUUUUCAACUUCAAGAAGCCAAACUCUGCUUCCAGAAUAAAUCUGACAUCACAGAAAGACAAGCUUUGCAUGUUCUCAUUUAUUUGUGGGUGCUAAAACUUAAAACAAUUGAACUCAUGAAGACAGAAGGAUGGCUACCAGAGGCUACAGUCAAUAGUAAUUACGUACACUUUAAAAUAAUGAAAAGAGUAUCAAUGGAUUGUUUGUAACACAAAGAAAUGAGAAACGC